GACGAACGCUGGCGGCGUGCUUAACACAUGCAAGUCGAACGGUAAGGCCCUUCGGGGUACACGAGUGGCGAACGGGUGAGUAACACGUGGGUGGUCUGCCCUGCACUUCGGGAUAAGCCUGGGAAACUGGGUCUAAUACCGGAUAGGACCACUGCCUGCAUGGGUGGUGGUGGAAAGCUUUUGCGGUGUGGGAUGGGCCCGCGGCCUAUCAGCUUGUUGGUGGGGUGAUGGCCUACCAAGGCGACGACGGGUAGCCGGCCUGAGAGGGUGACCGGCCACACUGGGACUGAGAUACGGCCCAGACGCCUACGGGAGGCAGCAGUGGUGAAUAUUGCACAAUGGGCGCAAGCCUGAUGCAGCGACGCCGCGUGAGGGAUGACGGCCUUCGGGUUGUAAACCUCUUUCAGCACCGACGAAGCGCAAGUGACGGUAGGUGCAGAAGAAGGACCGGCCAACUACGUGCCAGCCGCCGCGGUAA
rnacentral:rRNA from 1 species